CGGAACGCGGACAGACUUACCCCCCCACCCCCCCGGAGGAGGUGGAAAUAGAUGAAAGUUCUCUGACCCCUGACCCCCAACCCCCGGACAGCCUAGUUCCUGCAGGAGGCUCUCUUCCAACGGACUCCACCAUAGCAUCGCCAGACACCAAAGACAGGAGUGUGUACUCACCAGCGGAGCGAUGAUGGAAACAGAUGUCAUGAAUCUUCACCCAGCGUCAAUCUCUAUGCUGAGCAAUGAACAUACAAACAUGGACCAAGUACAAUGCCUGUCCUCAGGAGGCUUCUGACCUAAUGGAACUGUUGGCAAUGGCAUAAAUGUGCCUGACUUCAAUUCUGAAAAAUAUGUACUAUGGGACCUCAUCUGUUAAGCAGGGACAACAUCUGUUUCACGUGAUGUUAUGAAGACUAAAUGCCUGGCAUACAGCAUCAGUUUAUAGGAGUAUUCUGAGAAUGACAGCUGCCAGUCAUCUGGAGAUCUGAUAGCUGUUGGAAGCUGAGUUCAGUGGAGCUCCUCCUCCUGGGAGAAGUGAGAGAGUCCCAGGUUCUAGCGACUGCUUGUCCAAGACACCCAGAGUUUGAGGUACUGGAGUGUGAGAGUCUUUGGCAAGUGAAGGAGCCGGGCUAUAAGUGAUGGAUGUCCCACUUAAAUGACACUUUGCAAAGCCUUCAUCAUGUAGUGGCAGAAGAGUCACAAGAGAAUAAAUGACUUUCUUUUAAGCACCAAGAGCAGGAUGGAGGAGACAGACAGUGUGAAUGUCACAGUCCCCAUUCAAUUGAUUUCUCAGCUGCUGAUGCUGACGAGCAGUCUCCAGGCGAAGAGAAGGCUCACAAAUCCACAGACCCAAGGAAGUCUGAGUGGUCUAUAAUGAAACCCAAAUUACUUUAUUUCUUUAAUUUAUUUUUAAAAACAAUUCUUUACCCAUUAAACAAAAUGACCGAAAACAAAAGGAAAAUAAAGAAGAAAAAAUGAUCGUUAUUUAUUCCACCACUCCAACAGUUUUUCGGUUUUUUUUUCUUUCAGUUUUCCCUUUUAAUUUUUAAUAGAAAUGAGUUUCAGCUUAAAUUUACGUUGGGGUAAACACACUCAUAAAUCAUUUAUUUAAGCUUCACAUUAAUUAAACUAAAUAUGUUAAAAAGAAAAUUAAUAAACCACCAAGUGUAGUGAGAAAUUAUUUGGAAUUUGCAAGUAUUCCUCACUUGCUCAUACUAUACCUUCUGUAAAUGUAUGUCUUUCUUACGCAUACAAGGAUUUAUUUACUGACUAU